CUUGGGUCAGGCUCCUGGGAGAAGCAGUGACGAGGCUGGGUGCCUGCAGGAAGACCCUCAGCUGGCUGCAUGUUCAGCCCUGCAGGGUUAGGUAAUUUUGUGCCCAGCAGAGCAGGGCGGUGCUCUGUCCUCUGGGAAAUACUGCCUUCCUGGAAUGUUCCCUCCAACCCAGAGUGCUGAGAAGGCUGGCAGGAUAGAGGCCAGAACAUGUCUGACGUCAGCGCCAGCCUGGACGGAGAGCUCGGAUCCCAGAGAAGGCUGAGCACAGGGAGGAGAGGGGCAUGGGCCUCUGCAUUUGAGCUGCUCUCGUCCUGAAGUUUGUGCCCUGGGCCCUGUGAGAACUCAGGGGCCAGCCUGUGACACCCCGGCCAGGCCAUGCGAGGGUGGCGCCGGGACGCCGCCCUCUGCGGCUCCUUUGGGGAGCACUGACCAGCACUCAGGGAUGGAUCCGUGCAGCGAGUUGUCGAGAGGAGAGAGUGGAGGAGGACUCCGCAGUAUCCCGGCUGAUGCAUAUUGAGUCAUCCAGAGGAGAGAGAGGGGGAGGACUCCGCAGUAUCCCGGCUGAUGCAUAAUUUGUUCUUCUUAUGCAUUUUACCACCAUUUUGGCUAGCAUUUGGUGCUUCAAGGAACAGCUGUUAGAAGCGAAAAUCAGAGAAAAAGGCAUUUGCGUUUCAAAGGCUUCGCUUUGUGGAUGACACAUCCCAGAGAUAGGAGGAACUCCUGGCAGCAGCCAUAGAUUUGGAAGGAUGCAUCCCCAUCAGAGUUAGAACUUUAAGUUUGGAGACUCUUCUUAAAUUUCACUGAAGUGGAGUGAGAACUGAAGUGGUGGCAAAAAAGGAUGCUCAGGGCACUGCACAUGAGAGAGAAGUCUCAACAGCUGCAGAGGAACCUCCACUUCCCUCCCUCUUCUGCCCCAUCCUCCCUGCAUCUACUGGCUGCCCAGCGCUUGACACGACUCAGCUCAGGGAGCAGGAUCGGGGAAAGGAGCCCUCCUGCCUAACCCUCAACGCAGAAAGAGCAGCGGCUGCGCCAGGACUCCCCAUGAAGUGAAGUGGAAACGAUUUCACAGCAAAUGGGGUGGAUGGCCAGGGGCUCCUGUCAGGUGAAUAGAGCCUGAAGAUCUGCUUGCACAAGGACAUGGAGUUGUGUGCAC
rnacentral:lncRNA from 1 species